rnacentral:rRNA from 1 species
UACAGAGGGGGCAAGCGUUGUUCGGAAUUACUGGGCGUAAAGGGCGCGUAGGCGGCCUGUUAAGUCGAACGUGAAAUCCCCGGGCUCAACCCGGGAACUGCGUCCGAUACUGACAGGCUUGAAUCCGGGAGAGGGAUGUGGAAUUCCAGGUGUAGCGGUGAAAUGCGUAGAUAUCUGGAGGAACACCGGUGGCGAAGGCGGCAUCCUGGACCGGUAUUGACGCUGAGGCGCGAAAGCCAGGGGAGCAAACGGG